GGUUCUAUGAAUUGUAAACUGCUUUUCUACAGGAAGAAACCACCUUAUGCGUAGGGUGUUGCCGGUACUGUAGGAAUAAGCAUCGGCUAACUCCGUGCCAGCAGCCGCGGUAAUACGGAGGAUGCAAGCGUUAUCCGGAUUCAUUGGGUUUAAAGGGUGCGUAGGCGGAAUAGUAAGUCAGUGGUGAAAUCCUGCGGCUCAACCGUAGAAUUGCCAUUGAAACUGUUAUUCUUGAAUGUAGUUGAGGUAGGCGGAAUGUGUAAUGUAGCGGUGAAAUGCAUAGAUAUUACACAGAACACCGAUUGCGAAGGCAGCUUACUAAGCUAUGAUUGACGCUGAUGCACGAAAGCGUGGGGAGCGAACAGGAUUA
rnacentral:rRNA from 1 species